AGUGUGUGUAGGGGUUGUAGAGAGGGUGUGUUUAGAGAAUGUUGUAUGUCUUUCCUUAGAAGGAAUAUAGUGUGUGUGUGUGUAGGUGGUGCAGUGUGUGUGUGUAAGAGAUCUAGUGUGUAAAGGACCCAGAGUGUGUAUAGAAGAUUGUGUGUGUGUGUGUGUGUGUGUAGAGGAUUAAGAGUGCAUAUAGGGUAAGGGAUCUAGC